ACCCGCUGAACUUAAGCAUAUCAAUAAGCGGAGGAAAAGAAACUAACAAGGAUUCCCCUAGUAACGGCGAGUGAAGAGGGAAAAGCUCAAAUUUUGAAUCUGGUGUCUUUGACUCCCGAGUUGUAAUCUAGAGAAGUGUUUUCCGUGUCGGACCGUGUACAAGUUCCCUGGAACGGGGCGUCAUAGAGGGUGAGAAUCCCGUAUAUG
rnacentral:rRNA from 1 species